AACGAACGCUGGCGGCAUGCCUAACACAUGCAAGUCGAACGAGACCUUCGGGUCUAGUGGCGCACGGGUGCGUAACGCGUGGGAACCUGCCCUUAGGUUCGGAAUAACUCCCCGAAAGGGGUGCUAAUACCGGAUAAUGUCUUCGGACCAAAGAUUUAUCGCCUUUGGAUGGGCCCGCGUUGGAUUAGCUAGUUGGUAGGGUAAAAGCCUACCAAGGCGACGAUCCAUAGCUGGUCUGAGAGGAUGAUCAGCCACACUGGGACUGAGACACGGCCCAGACUCCUACGGGAGGCAGCAGUGGGGAAUAUUGGACAAUGGGCGAAAGCCUGAUCCAGCAAUGCCGCGUGAGUGAUGAAGGCCUUAGGGUUGUAAAGCUCUUUUACCCGGGAUGAUAAUGACAGUACCGGGAGAAUGAGCUCCGGCUAACUCCUUG
rnacentral:rRNA from 1 species